CAGGGUAGAAAUUAUCGGCAAAAGAGAUAGGAAAGUUGCUGUUUUGUUAAACCCUGAGGCUGUCAGUGCAACAACACUUCUUGUAGAGAAAAGAGAUGCAUGUAAUGUGCAUAAGGAUAAUCCCUUCCUAUUUGGACGACCACAGUGCCCCUCCAUGAGCUACUACAGGGGACAGGACUGCAUAAGAAAGUUUGCAAGUAUGUGUGGUGCAAAGAAUCCUGAUAAUCUGAGGUCUACAUAUCUUCGCAAGCACAUUGCAACAGUGUCCCAAAUACUCAACCUCAAGAACAAUGAGCUGGACCAACUGGCCAACUUUUUGGGCCACGAUAUACGAGUCCACAGAGACUUUUAUCGUCUGCCGGAGGCAACUAUAGAAAUGGCAAAAAUCACAAAGCUUCUACUUGCAAUGGAGAAAGGAACUCUUGCAAAAUUCCAGGGAAAGUCUCUUGACGAGAUUGAGCUUGAAGACUAAUUGGACCCAGAGCUGGGUGAUGGUGAUGGUGAUGGUGAUGACGAUGGCGAUGGCGAUGGUGACAACGAUGACUACGAUGGUGGUGUUGGUGACGAUGCCGGUGGUGAUGGCGGUGGUGAUGACGAUGGCGGUGGAGGCAGUGAAGGCAGUGGAGGCAGUGAAGGCAGUAGAGAUGACGGAGAUGGAGUUGAUGGGUCCGGACUAAGUGAAAAUCAAGAAAUGAAGACGCCUGAAGAGGUCACCAGCUCCUCUGAGAAAAGAAAAAGAAUGGAAUCUAUCCAGGAUGUGGCCAAGAGUUACAAAGGGCAAAAGAAACUGUGUACAACCCAGAGUGUGGUAACCAGCUCCAAAGAGGUCAAAUCGUCAAGAAGAUGUGUGAAAAGGCCAUGGAGCAAGGUUGAAGUCAGUGCUGUUAUGAAACACUUCAAAAUACAUAUCGCUAAAGGACACCUUGCAUCAAAGUUGGAGUGUGAGCAGUGCAAGCGCGCUGAGCACCCUGUUUUGACAGACAGAACUAUUCAAAACAUUCGCGAUUUUGUGAGGAACAGGGGUGUUAUGUUCAAACGAAAUGGGGGUGAAAUAGCCUGAGGUUGUGGGUGGGUUUUUCCCCGCACUUUAUUCUUGUGCAAUGGACCUCCUGUCCCACUCAAUUUUUGUUUACAUCGUCAAUGUUUUACAGUUUGCUCAGGGCAGUAAUUGUUGCUUUAAGUUGCUCUGCACUUUAUGUUAAUAUUACUUGGCACUUAAAUUUGUUUUGUUAACAAUGUCAGUUAAACAUUUGUACAAGUUGUAAAAACUGUCUAAAACUAACACUGUUAGAGUGGGUAGUGAGGGGAAAUAAAGAAAGACAUUACCUUUUCAAGUUCAAUGUGUUUUCAGUAUGUUCAAAAUUUGGUUAUCGUAGAAACUUGUAUAUCGGCCAUAACAGCAAUGUUAAUAUUGGUUAUCGGUGUCGGCCAGAAUUUUCAUAUCGGUGUAUAUUAAGGCAGCCUUAUACCUAUUCUUUGUUCUACACUUUAUUUUACUUGGCACUGUAAUUUGUAUGUUUUACUUGGCCCUUCAAAGGGGUAGUUCAAAUUUUAUGAUGUUGGGUUUUGUGAGACCCUUAUAACAGAAAUAUUUAUUUAAAAAAAGCUGCUGAGUGUUACAUUUUAUUUGAGAAAUGCCCAUUUUAUUCAAUAAAAUAAAUUCCACUGAUGAGGCAAAACAUUGAGCACCAUUGUGUAGGGUGCGGGUGCUUACACCAGUGUAGUUCUUUACAGUCAUUCUUGGUGUAGAUGUCCCUUACAGGUUUAAAAAGAUGUGAAUUAUGCCCAUUAAUACCAGUGUGUCUCAUAACUGAUUCAAGGAUAAUUUAUCAUCAUUCUAGGACAUGAGGGUGAGGGUACAUGAAAAGAACGAAAUUUAGUAGUCAAGGUCCCAAAAAAGCAGCAGACAAUAUAAAAAUUAGAUCAAAGUUGAACAGUAAAGAUUAAGCAGAGGAAGACAAUUGAUUGAAAGUGCAUUCGGUGCCAAUAAAUAUUGUGAU